rnacentral:rRNA from 1 species
UAACACGUGGGUAAUCUGCCUGGGGAGAUUGGGAUAACCAUCCGAAAGGAUGGCUAAUACCAGAUAAGACCACGAGGACUUCGGUCCUUGAGGGAAAAGGUGGCCUCUGUAUACAAGCUAUCACUUCCAGAUGAGCCCGCGGCCCAUCAGCUAGUUGGUGAGGUAAUGGCUCACCAAGGCAACGACGGGUAGCUGGUCUGAGAGGACGAUCAGCCACACUGGAACUGAGACACGGUCCAGACUCCUACGGGAGGCAGCAGUGGGGAAUUUUGCGCAAUGGGCGAAAGCCUGACGCAGCAACGCCGCGUGUGUGAUGAAGGUCUUCGGAUUGUAAAGCACUUUCGACCGGGACGAAACCCGUCUGGCUAACAUCCAGGCGCUUGACGGUACCGGGAGAAGAAGCACCGGCUAACUCUGUGCCAGCAGCCGCGGUAA